GACGAACGCUGGCGGCGUGCUUAACACAUGCAAGUCGAACGGAAAGGCCCUGCUUGCAGGGUACUCGAGUGGCGAACGGGUGAGUAACAAGUGGGUGAUCUGCCCUGCACUUCGGGAUAAGCCUGGGCAACUGGGUCUAAUACCGGAUAGGAGCCAUUUUUAGUGUGAUGGUUGGAAAGUUUUUUGGGUGUAGGCUGAGCUUGCGGCCUAUCAGCUUGUUGGAGGGGUGAUGGCCUACCAACGCGGCGGCGCGUAGCCGGCCUGAGUGGGUGGACGGCGACAUUGAGACUGAGAGACGGCCCAGGCACCUACGGGAGGCAGCAGUGGGGAAUAUUGCAGAAUGAGCGCAGGCCUAGUGCUGCGACGCCGCGGGGGGGAUGACGGCCUUCGGGUUGUAGACUCCUUUCGCUAGGAACGAAGCUUUUUGUGACGGUACCUAGAUAGGAAGCACCGGCUAACUACGUG
rnacentral:rRNA from 1 species